GCGGUCGUGGUGGAAUUGGUAGACACGCAGCGUUGAGGUCGCUGUGGCUCACAAGGCCUUGGAAGUUCAAGUCUUCUCGACCGCACCA
rnacentral:tRNA from 1 species